AAAAACUUAGUUAAACUAUAACAUCAGAUUGUCAAACUGAAAUCAUUAUCGUAAAUAAUAGUUUUUU
rnacentral:tRNA from 1 species